GAUGAACGCUGGCGGCGUGCCUAAUACAUGCAAGUCGAGCGAACAGACGAGGAGCUUGCUCCUCUGACGUUAGCGGCGGACGGGUGAGUAACACGUGGAUAACCUACCUAUAAGACUGGGAUAACUUCGGGAAACCGGAGCUAAUACCGGAUAAUAUAUUGAACCGCAUGGUUCAAUAGUGAAAGACGGUUUUGCUGUCACUUAUAGCUGGAUCCGCGCCUCAUUAGGUAGUUGGUAAGGUCAAGGCUUACCACGGGAACGAUGCGUAGCCGACCUGAGAGGGUGAUCGGCCACACUGGAACUGAGACACGGUCCAGACUCCUACGGGAGGCAGCAGUAGGGAAUCGUCCGCAAUGGGCGAAAGCCUGACGGAGCAACGCCGCGUGAGUGAUGAAGGUCUUCGGAUCGUAAAACUCUGUUAUUAGGGAAGAACAAAUGUGUAAGUAACUAUGCACGUCUUGACGGUACCUAAUCAGAAAGCCACGGCUAACUACGUG
rnacentral:rRNA from 1 species